rnacentral:rRNA from 1 species
UUACACAUGCAAGUCGAACGGUAACGCGGAGCAACCCUGGCGACGAGUGGCGAACCGGGUGAGUAGUACAUCGGAACGUGCCCAGUAGUGGGGGAUAGCCCGGCGAAAGCCGGAUUAAUACCGCAUACGACCUACGGGUGAAAGCGGGGGAUCGCAAGACCUUGCGCUAUUAGAUGAGCCGAUGUCGGAUUAGCUAGUUGGUGAGGUAAAGGCUCACCAAGGCGACGAUCCGUAGCUGGUCUGAGAGGACGACCAGCCACACUGGAACUGAGACACGGUCCAGACUCCUACGGGAGGCAGCAGUGGGGAAUAUUGGACAAUGGGGGCAACCCUGAUCCAGCGACGCCGCGUGUGUGAAGAAGGCCUGCGGGUUGUAAAGCACUUUUAGUGGGGAUGAAAAGUUCAGGGUGAAUACCCCUGGAUCUUGACCUAACCCAAAGAAAAAGCACCGGCUAACUCUGUGCCAGCAGCCGCGGUAAUACGAAGGGGGCUAGCGUUGCUCGGAAUCACUGGGCGUAAAGGGUGCGUAGGCGGGUUAUUAAGUCAGAGGUGAAAUCCUGGAGCUCAACUCCAGAACUGCCUUUGAUACUGAUAGUCUUGAGUAUGGGAGAGGUGAGUGGAACUGCGAGUGUAGAGGUGAAAUUCGUAGAUAUUCGCAAGAACACCAGUGGCGAAGGCGGCUCACUGGCCCAUUACUGACGCUGAGGCACGAAAGCGUGGGGAGCAAACAGGAUUAGAUACCCUGGUAGUCCACGCCGUAAACGAUGAAUGCCAGCCGUUAGUGGGUUUACUCACUAGUGGCGCAGCUAACGCUUUAAGCAUUCCGCCUGGGGAGUACGGUCGCAAGAUUAAAACUCAAAAGAAUUGACG